CCGGGUGUGGCUGAGACAGUUAAGCGACUCCCUUACACCGAGAAUACAUUCAUGCAAGUUGGAUCGCCCGGA